AUGGGUGCAUUCAAAUACAUCCAGGAGCUAUGGAGGAAGAAGCAGUCCAACAUGAUGAGCUUUCUUCUGAGGGUCCACUGCUGGCAAUACCGCCAGCUCUCUGCGCUGCACAGGGCUCCCCGCCCCACCCGGCCUGACAAAGCUCGAAGACUAGGGUACAAGGCUAAGCAAGGCUAUGUCAUUUACAGGAUUUGUGCAACUUAUGGCAAGCCUGUCCACCAUAGAGUUAAACAGCUGAAAUUUGCCCAAAGCCUUCAGUCUGUUGCUGAGAAGAGAGCUGGGUGCCAUUGUGGGGCUUUGAGAGUCCUGAAUUCCUACUGGGUUGGUGAAGAUUACACAUACAGUUUUUGAGGUUAUCCUCAUUGAUCCAUUCCAUAAAGCUAUCAGAAGAAAUCCUGACACCCAGUGGAUCACCAAACCAGUCCACAAGAACAGAGAGAUGCGUGGGUUGACAGAAAGAGCGGUGACCUUGGAAAGGGCCACAAAUUCCACCACACUAUUGGUGGUUCCCGCCGUGCGACCUGGAGAAGGCACAAUACUCUCCAGCUCCACCGUUACCGCUAA
rnacentral:lncRNA from 1 species